GUCCAGGUACGGGGACAUGGUGCCGGGUACUAUCGCCGGAAAGAUUGUCGGAGGCGUGUGUUCGCUGAGCGGGGUUCUUGUCAUCGCAUUGCCAGUGCCUGUCAUCGUCUCCAAC
rfam:Zootermopsis nevadensis contig18429, whole genome shotgun sequence.